rnacentral:rRNA from 1 species
AGAGUUUGUUCCAUGGCUCAGGAUGAACGCUAGCGGCAGGCAUAAUACAUGCAAGACGAACGGUAAGCUUUGUAGCAAUACGGAGCCUAGAGUGUCGUACGGGUGCGUAACACGUAUGCAACCUACCUUUUACAGGAGUAUAGCUCCCCGAAAGGGGAAUUAACCCUCCAUAAUAUCAUUGGAUGGCAUCAUUUGAUGAUUAAAACUGAGGUGGUAAAAGAUGGGCAUGCGUCUGAUUAGUUAGUUGGCAGUGUAACGGACUACCAAGACGAUGAUCAGUAGGGGACCUGAGAGGGUGAUCCCCCACACUGGCACUGAGAUACGGGCCAGACUCCUACGGGAGGCAGCAGUAGGGAAUAUUGGACAAUGGGUGAGAGCCUGAUCCAGCCAUGCCGCGUGCAGGAAGAAGGCGUUAUGCGUUGUAAACUGCUUUAGCCAGGGGAUAAAACGGUUCUGCGGAACUAAUUGAAGGUACCUGGAUAAUAAGCCACGGCUAACUACGUGCCAGCAGCCGCGGUAAUACGUAGGUGGCAAGCGUUGUCCGGAUUUAUUGGGUUUAAAGGGUGCGUAGGCGGCCCUGUAAGUCAGUGCUGAAAUAUCCCGGCUUAACCGGGAGGGUGGCAUUGAUACUGCAGGCUUGAGUACAGAUGAGGUAGGCGGAAUUGACGGUGUAGCGGUGAAAUGCAUAGAUAUCGUCAAGAACACCGAUAGCGAAGGCAGCUUACCAAGCUGUAACUGACGCUG